rnacentral:rRNA from 1 species
UACAGAGACUGCAAGCGUUAUUCGGAUUCACUGGGCGUAAAGGGUGCGCAGGCGGCCGUGUGUGUAAGGUGUGAAAUCCCGGGGCUCAACCCCGGAACUGCGCCUUAAACUACAUGGCUAGAGUACUGGAGAGGGUAGUGGAAUUCACGGUGUAGCAGUGAAAUGCGUAGAUAUCGUGAGGAACACCAGAGGCGAAGGCGACUACCUGGACAGUUACUGACGCUCAGGCACGAAAGCGUGGGGAGCAAAAGGG